GCAGCCCCUCCCGCACGGCCCGGAGCCCACGGAGCCGUUUCGCAGCAGGCCAGGAGCCUAGGAGCUGACGGAAAACCUGCGGUGUUCGUGCUUCCCCCAACUUGUUAGUGUUAAUACAAUUCAAGGGGAAGCUGAAAUGUGGCCUGUUCCAUGUCACACGGCACUGUAGGAGUAGAGAAAUGGUAGAGUCCUCCCGUCAGCUGACAGCCUGCUGAUCUGCUCCCUGCUCUGAACGCUGAUGCAGAGUGCAGCGUUCCCAGGCAGGUGCUCGUGGGGCUGGGCUGCCGUCCUCACCUUAAAGCUGUGCUGUUCUUCUACACAGAGGCUUCAGGGUAUUGCCCCCCUGUGCACAAACAGCACAUAAGCGUGUUGUCAGGCAGCCCACCGGAUAUGGUUUGUGGUGUCAUUUUGUCAUCCCACGUCCUGUCUCCUUCCUGGAUGUCCGAGAUCCUGACUGAAUGCCUGUGCUGUCCACAGCAAUCAGACUCUGCCAUGGGAAACAGUCCUGCAUUCUGCCUGCAGGUGGGCAGACCCAGAUUCAGCACAGUGGGUCCGUAACAUCCCAUGCUUUGAGGGAGAUGGAUUUGCAGUGAAUUAUUCAGACAGUGGUACUUAAGGCCACAGCCAACACAACUGAGAGCCUCGAUGCCUCCUAAUGCUCCCCUGUUCACACGGACUCUGGUGUGGCCCCCCUCUAAACUUGUUCUCUCUUAAAACACGACUUCUUCCUGCAUGGACAAGUUGUUAUGAGGUGAGGGAUAUUUGUGUGAAUUAGGCUUUCUUAUUCAGAGAAGCAUUGUCUCACUGGGGUCAUCCCUCACCCAUUUGUAACCACAGGGUCAGUACUGCCAGGCUGUCCUUUGCCCAACCCUCCCCUUGCUGUGUGCGGGAGCGUUGCUUUUCAGUGCCUCCCUGCAGCUUCCCCUAACCCAUGUGUCUGCUUUAGCAGAAGUGAAUUACAGGUGGGACGGAGGAGGGUGGUUUUGGACUGCAUCAUGUUUCACCAGAUCUGUACAGUUUUCAUUGAUUUUCCAAUGAAUAAAACACGAGCCUGCAGACCAUCAAGGUCAGACGUUUGGGGACAGACAGCUGCCUCUGAAUGAGGUCAUUGCUCCAGGACACGGCCGUGCCAGCGCGCGAGGGCAGCAGCAGCGCUCAGCAUCCAGCAGGCACAUGGCCGAGCAGCUGCCCUGCAACGACCGCCCCACAGCUGGGGUUGGGCUGGGGGAUCUCCAGAGGUCCCUGUGAGCCUCUCUGGUUCUGUGGCUCUGUGAAAUGAAGUAACAACAAAAACGAGGGGAUGUGAUGAGUGUGUUUUGGAAGUUGGCAACAGCACAAAGAAAAUUAAGUGUAGCAUGAUUACUUUAUGACUGGAAGAAGUGGAUGUCUAAGGUCAAGACAGGACUGGGAGCAACAGUAAGAGUUCAAAUACACUUCUGAAACCAUAAUUUGAUGAUGAGGCCACACCUUCAACUGGGAUGAUAUGGAUCAAAAGAAGAAAUAGAAGAGGAAGAGUUUAGAAGAAGGCAAGAUAUAUGCACGAUGCAUGCAUGCUACUAAUAAUUCUAAUGAGCUCUCCCAUGUGCUCGCCCUCCUGUACUGAGCUGGUGUAAAGGCCGGGAUGUGCCGGAGCGGUCCCCUCGGUUGUGUCCCGGUACAGCAGCACCCGCCCGCGGUCACCCCGCGCCCCUCCCGGCUGUGCCCCGCUCCGACGCUGGGUCUACAGCUCCUGCGGGCCGGGCGCUUUGUGACCCGCACAGCGGCGGUUGGUGCCACCAUCUGCUGGCGAGCACCCAAAUGGGCCCACCGAGACGCCUUCCAACGGGAGUACGGCAGCACUCGGCCUCCCGCCGCCCCCCGCCUUCUCUGGCUGUUACCCGAGCGGUCCGGGGCCGCCCGCAGCAGAGCUCCACUCCCCGCGGGCGC
ensembl:lncRNA